AUUUUGCAGUCACCAUUGUCAAAAUUAUCAGGGGGGGCCACAUCAACCCCACCACCCCACAGCGCUGAGGCAGUGCAGCCCUGUCACAGUGAGGGGCUGUGUGGGGCUUGCUUGGGAGACAGGCCCAGAACCUGCCUGUGGCCCCUGAAGGCCAAGGGACAGCUCAGCCCACCCUGGCGUUGUGCCUUCCAGGUCCUGGCUCCUGAGCCAUGCCCUACAGCAGAUAAAAUGAAUCCAUAAAGAUGUCUGCACCCUCUUCAGCACAGUGUUGAGGCAAACCAUUCACGUCACCGUGUCUUAGGAAUGCCUUCAUUUUCUCAGCUUUGCAAAUGAAGAAUCAGAGACUCAACAAAUCUAAAGAAAUAUGACUGUAUUUUAACAUUUUUUUACCAGGAUGAAAUGCUUUCAAGAGUAUCUCCUGAAUGCACAGGAUGAUUUGCUGCUAAUAGCAGUGGCAACGUGCACAGAAAGCGAGAGCUUGGGACAGUACAGCUACAAAUAAUUUUCCUUGAGCAUGCCCUUUUUCAAGGAAAGACAGGUUGGCACUGUGAUAAGGGGCGUGACAUCUUAAUGAGCUUGUAAUUGGUUAGUAGUAUUUGAAUUAUUGCAUCCUUUGCCAAAAUUUGUAGUUUAUUUAUUAAAAAAAAAUAAUUAAGGACAGAAUUCUUUUAAAG
rnacentral:lncRNA from 1 species